UACGGAGGGAGCUAGCGUUAUUCGGAAUUACUGGGCGUAAAGCGCACGUAGGCGGCUUUGUAAGUAAGAGGUGAAAGCCCAGAGCUCAACUCUGGAAUUGCCUUUUAGACUGCAUCGCUUGAAUCAUGGAGAGGUCGGUGGAAUUCCGAGUGUAGAGGUGAAAUUACGUUAGAUAUUCGGAAGAACACCUAGGUAGGCGAAAGGCCGGCGUGG
rnacentral:rRNA from 1 species